rnacentral:hammerhead_ribozyme from 1 species
GUCCAGUUGACGAGUCUCAUAUAGAACGAAACGCGCGUCCUGGAU